rnacentral:rRNA from 1 species
UACGAAGGGGGCUAGCGUUGCUCGGAAUCACUGGGCGUAAAGCGCACGUAGGCGGCUUUCUAAGUCAGGGGUGAAAUCCUGGAGCUCAACUCCAGAACUGCCUUUGAUACUGAGGAGCUUGAGUCCGGGAGAGGUGAGUGGAACUGCGAGUGUAGAGGUGAAAUUCGUAGAUAUUCGCAAGAACACCAGUGGCGAAGGCGGCUCACUGGCCCGAUACUGACGCUGAGGCACGAAAGCGUGGGGAG